GACCUAACUAGCCUAUUGCUGUUAGACAAUUCUGCCUUUUACUUAUUUAAGAACAAAGCUGAGGAGGAAGAAUGAGUGAUGCAUCCAUGUAGAAGACCUUUGGAUGGUUUCUCCAAAUGAUAGACUCCUUGGAAAUCAGCUGUAGUUCCCUUUCCCUGGAAUACAUGACUGCAUCAGGAAACCUCUGCAGCAGCAUUAAUGUGUGUUCAAGGCACAAUGCAUCAGAGGUUCAUCUUCAGGGCUGGAUAUCCAGUCUUCAUCUGCUCUGCAUUCUUUCUGAUGAGAGAAGAGGACGCGCUUUAACAGUGAAAUGUACAGAACUUGGAGGCUUAUUUCCACAAGAUGCUUAGGUGACAUCUGGGCUACUAAAUUAAGCUGAAUAGCCCUGGACACUGGAACUAACUCAUCUCGGUGCCCCCUGAUGUGGAUUUUACCUAUAAAAGCUAUCUUUCUUCCUAAUAACUUGGGGACCUGUUUAGGAAGCCUGGGAGUUAGAUCACUCCCAAUAGAGAGUUUGCAUGAAGCCAGAGAGUUGUGUUAGACCUAAAGCCUCAUGCCUUCCUAGCGUAAACGAUGUUAUGAUUUGUGAUGCUUUGGGAGUUAAUUUAUGUCAACCAGCUGAAAUGUGAAAUUUAUGUGAACCAGCUCUUGGAGCUUCAUAAAACUCAGUGAGAACUUCAGGCAGUGAAUCCACAUAAUUUGGUCUUAUUAGCUUGACUUUCAUUUUGUAUAAACCUAUAGAGAAGCUUGAUUUCCAUAGAAAAUUGUCAUCUUCCACCUUUUGAAAGAAAAUCUCAGGGUCUGAUCAGCUGCUCUUGCUCAGUUCUCUUGAAGUAUACAAGCCUGCAAGGGAGAUGGCUGGUGUGACACCUGUAACAGCAGUGAAACUGCACAGGCAAGUCCCAGCUGCUGAGCGUGCCCUUCACACUUUAUGAGUGAGUUGCAGGAAGGAUCACUGCAGAAGUUGGUAUUUUGUGUUGAAAGCUGCUUUUUAUUCACCUUCUCUGAGUCUCCUUGAUAUCAGAGGCCUGUAGAAGUUUGUAAGGAACUGGACACACUACCUGUGGUGAUGUCCUGUUUCAGAGUCUGAAUGUGGCAUAUGGUUGUACUGGGAACGUCAGGAGCAUCGAGACAUCACGUCUGCCAUUAUGUUACGGACUAUCUGAAAGCAAAUGGUAUUGCCUGCCAUUGCUGUGUCUGGGCAGAAGGUCAACACUCAAACUCCUGAUGUUCACACCAAGACUGAAAGGGUAAGUGGGCUCCAUGUGCCGGGGUCUGUGUUCUCAUCUUGCAGACCCCCAAAAGCCAUUCCUGUGGGUUGACUCAAGCAUCUGGUGAAUAUGGAGAAGA
rnacentral:lncRNA from 1 species